UUUCUCCAUUUUGCUCACGGCAUCGGCAGCAGCAACAGACUCCUCCCACCCCUGGGCUCAGCAGCUUAACCCGGUGUGGCGGUGGGAGGUGGCUGCAACAUGCCCAGGUGCUCCUCUCGCAGCCAACAGGCACAAGCACACACUCCUGCUGCUGCUGACCAGGGACAGGGCUUGGUGCUCCUUGCACCCAGCUUAGAAACCAAGGGACUUGACUGACAAGCGGUCUUCAUUGAAGAGAAUUCAGCAUACAGGCUUUGAGCAACAGACAAUAACAAAGGACUGAGAAAUUCCUGGCAGCAGCAGUCACUUGCUAGUCAGGAUAUCCCAGCUGCGCUCUCUCCUCUCCGGGCUGAAAUGACGGGCCCUGUAACGCAUUGUGGAUCUCGGCUCUUCUGCUUCAGGUCUGCCACUUGGAGCAGUCGCUGGAUCCACAGCUCCCCACCCGAGGACAAACAGGGACUGCUGGAGACAAUCAUUGGAUUCUCAGCAUUUUCACUGGCAAUUCUUGGACCAGCUGGAUGGGUCCUGUGCCACCUUUCAAGCUAUAAAAAGAAAUAGAAAACAUCCCUCCGAAACUAAGACCUGAAGACUACAAUAAACUAUAAUCCUCCAAACUUGGACUCUCUUUAAAUUCCCCAUUCCCACACUGUCACCCAUCCCCUGGGCCAGAUCCCAGAAAGCAUUUGCAGAUACUGAGAUAUUGAUACUGAUACUUGUAGAACUGAGCCCAGAUAUACAAUGGUGUAAUGAUACAAAAGAGUGGCAGGUCUACUCUGCAUCACCUGCAACAUUGGACCAUUGGAUCUGUCAUCAGGUACUGUGAGAAAUGGAAGAUUGAGGAGGAGGACUGUAAACACGCUCAGUUUAGCUGUUGAAAAACACAUAUAUCAUGCUAAUUGUUGUUUGACCUUGUGUUUUAGACAAGUAGAACAUCUUUGUCUGGGAAACAUAGGCCUGUGGUAGACUUAAAGGCACCCUAUCAAACAUGCUUGAGUAUCCUGCCCUUCUGUGGGCAAGAUUAAAGCACAGUGGUAAAUUAUACUUGUGUGAAUCCCUGAAAUACAGGAAAGAAUAACAGGUUUGCUGAUCCUCCACCAUGGACCAAGCUUUGCAGUGCCUGUGUUCCCACUUGUGUGCCUCUCCUGUCUGCUGCUUUGGUGAUCCCUGGUUAGUAAGGUAACAAAAAUUAGUUUACUCUGCCUUUCAUCCAUGGUUUUAUCAUUGUUACUGUGUCCUCUCUGCACCAGCUCAUACAGGCACCAUCAGCAAUUUAAAGUAAAUAAAUGGAAAAAAAUACAGUAAAAAUAUUUUAUAGUCAUCUCAGACUAAAUCUCUGAGAAUUUAGGACCGUUUUCUUGAGAGUUUCUCUUUAAUCUUUACAUGUCUUCUUUUGAUGUGUUCCUUUUCCACAAGUAUAUAUGUUUUUCUGCAGAUGAUGAUUGUCAGGUAUUUCAAUUUAUUUUCAGUUUCUAGAUUAAGAUGUUUGACCUUUGAGAGAUUUUUCCCAUGACUGCUAUUUGCAAUUACUAGGAUAAAUACUUUGAAGUCUAGAUUAAAUUUGAGAAAUGUACGCUAAAUAACACUUGUUUUGCCAUGUUACAUGUGUAAUAAAAGAAUGCCUUCUAAUGAUUUCAUGUCUGUCUUGCAAGAAAAUACAAAAUAUGAACAUUUUGUGAUGCUUAAGGAUUAUGUAUUGUCAUGCUUAAGUAUUAACAGAAUAUAAUUUAAAAUUCCAUUAAGUCAUUUGUGCUGUCUAAUAUCAAAACAGAUUCUGAAAGUAGGGCUGUGAAUGUGAAAAGUGUAUAUUCUUGCUGUAUUUCUAAAGCAUGAUUUUCAAAUAAAUUGUCUGAGUUCCUUUCAGCCUUGUAA